rnacentral:rRNA from 1 species
CCUACGGGUGGCAGCAGUGAGGAAUAUUGGUCAAUGGCCGGAAGGCUGAACCAGCCAAGCCGCGUGAAGGACGAAGGUGCCAAGCAUUGUAAACUUCUUUUGUCAAGGGACAAAAUCAGGCUCGAGAGCCUGACCGAGGGUACUUGAAGAAAAAGCAUCGGCUAACUCCGUGCCCGCAGCCGCGGUAAUCCGGAGGAGGCGAGCGUUAUCCGGUUUUAUUGGGUUUAAAGGGUGCGUAGGCGGACUGUUAAGUCAGCGGUAAAAGCCCGGGGCUCAACCCCGGCGAGCCGUUGAAACUGGCGGUCUUGAGAGGGCGAGAGGUAGGCGGAAUGCGCAGUGUAGCGGUGAAAUGCUUAGAUAUUGCGCAGAACUCCGAUUGCGAAGGCAGCAUACCGGCGGCGAUCUGACGCUGAGGCACGAAAGCGUGGGUAUCGAACAGGAUUAGAUACCCCUGUAGUC